GAUGAACGCUGGCGGCGUGCCUAAUACAUGCAAGUCGAGCGAACAGAUGAGGAGCUUGCUCCUCUGACGUUAGCGGCGGACGGGUGAGUAACACGUGGAUAACCUACCUAUAAGACUGGGAUAACUUCGGGAAACCGGAGCUAAUACCGGAUAAUAUAUUGAACCGCAUGGUUCAAUAGUGAAAGACGGUUUUGCUGUCACUUAUAGAUGGAUCCGCGCCGCAUUAGCUAGUUGGUAAGGUAACGGCUUACCAAGGCAACGAUGCGUAGCCGACCUGAGAGGGUGAUCGGCCACACUGGAACUGAGACACGGUCCAGACUCCUACGGGAGGCAGCAGUAGGGAAUCUUCCGCGAUGGGCGAAAGCCUGACGGAGCAACGCCGCGUGAGUGAUGAAGGUUUUCGAAUCGUAAAACUCUGUUAUUAGGGAAGAACAAAUGUGUAAGUAACUAUGCACGUCUUGACGGUACCUAAUCAGAAAGCCACGGCUAACUACGUG
rnacentral:rRNA from 1 species